rnacentral:rRNA from 1 species
UGCGGUUAAACAAAUAAUACAACUAUUUUUUUUCGGUUUUUGAUUCUUAGUUAAUAAUAAGUAAAUUUUAUUUAAUAAAAUAUUGGGUGAAAUCCUAUUUUAUUUUUAUAUAAAUUUUUGAUUAUGAGGUUAAGAAACCUAGGUUAAAAACUGGGAUUAGAUACCCCAUUAUUCUAGAUGUUGAUAUUUAGACCUGAUAAAUAUAAGUUAUGCUCUUUAAAAUCAAAAAAUUUGGCGGUUUUUUAUUCCAAUCAGGGGAAUCUGUCCUGUAAUCGAUAAUCCACGAUUAAUAAAACUUUUAUUAUGCUUGUAUAUCGUCGUUGUUAAUUAUUUUCGGAAAUAUAUAAUUUUAAUAUAAUAUUAUAUUAAAUAUCAGAUCAAGGCGCUUCUUAUAAAAGUAGAGAUGGAUUACAAUAAUUUUAUUUUAGGAUAAUUUUUUUCAUUAUUAUUUAUAAUUUGGA